AUUGAACGCUGGCGGCAUGCCUUACACAUGCAAGUCGAACGGCAGCACGGGUGCUUGCACCUGGUGGCGAGUGGCGAACGGGUGAGUAAUACAUCGGAACAUGUCCUGUAGUGGGGGAUAGCCCGGCGAAAGCCGGAUUAAUACCGCAUACGAUCUACGGAUGAAAGCGGGGAACCUUCGGGCCUCGCGCUAUAGGGUUGGCCGAUGGCUGAUUAGCUAGUUGGUGGGGUAAAGGCCUACCAAGGCGACGAUCAGUAGCUGGUCUGAGAGGACGACCAGCCACACUGGGACUGAGACACGGCCCAGACUCCUACGGGAGGCAGCAGUGGGGAAUUUUGGACAAUGGGCGAAAGCCUGAUCCAGCAAUGCCGCGUGUGUGAAGAAGGCCUUCGGGUUGUAAAGCACUUUUGUCCGGAAAGAAAUCCUUGGCCCUAAUACGGUCGGGGGAUGACGGUACCGGAAGAAUAAGCACCGGCUAACUACGU
rnacentral:rRNA from 1 species